GCGGUAAAAGCUCAAAUUUGAAAUCUGGUACUUUCAGUGCCCGAGUUGUAAUUUGUAGAAUUUGUCUUUGAUUAGGUCCUUGUCUAUGUUCCUUGGAACAGGACGUCAUAGAGGGUGAGAAUCCCGUUUGGCGAGGAUACCUUUUCUCUGUAAGACUUUUUCGAAGAGUCGAGUUGUUUGGGAAUGCAGCUCAAAGUGGGUGGUAAAUUCCAUCUAAAGCUAAAUAUUGGCGAGAGACCGAUAGCGAACAAGUACAGUGAUGGAAAGAUGAAAAGAACUUUGAAAAGAGAGUGAAAAAGUACGUGAAAUUGUUGAAAGGGAAGGGCAUUUGAUCAGACAUGGUGUUUUUUGCAUGCACUCGCCUCUCGUGGGCUUGGGCCUCUCAAAAAUUUCACUGGGCCAACAUCAAUUCUGGCAGCAGGAUAAAUCAUUAAGAAUGUAGCUACUUCGGUAGUGUUAUAGCUUUUUGGAAUACUGUUAGCCGGGAUUGAGGACUGC
rnacentral:rRNA from 1 species